AACACAUGUAACUGCAUACCCCAUUGACACUAUAAAGCAACUAUAGGAGCUUCUGAAUAGCUGAACACAUGGAAAUUUCUGGGGGUGGCAUGCCCAGGGAGAGCAUGGCAGCUCCACACCUCUUCCCCCUGUACCUCACUCUAUGCAUCUCUGCAUCUGUAUCCUUUGCAAUACACUUUAUAAUAAACCAGUAAAUAUAUGUGUUCCCCUGAAUUCUGUGAGUCACUCCAGCAAAUUAAUCAAACCCAAAGAGAGGAUCAUGGGUACCCCAACUUGAAGUUGAUUAGUCAGAAUUUCUGGGCGUCUGGGCAUGUCACUGGUGUGAGGGAGAGAUAGUCUUGGGGACUGAGCCCUCGAUCUGUGGGAUCUGACACUAUCUUUAGGUAGAUAGCGUCAGUGAAGCAGUAUUUGCUGGAAAGGCCUUGGCUCACAGAUUUGGAUAUAGAAAGGAUAAAAGCAUGGGAGAUGAGAAACUUUUGAUUCCUCGGUGGCCAUGUGAUCACUCAUGGUAUGAAGACACAGUUGCGUUGAGAUCAGUUACUAAAAGCUAAAGUUACCAGUGUAAUUUAGAGAUGAAUCCAACUCCCUAGGAAUUGGUUCACUGGAUGUGUAAGGAAAUGUAAAUGAAUAAAAGAAAAGUGAAACAUUCAAUCCUUCUGUUGUUGUUAUCUGUAAUAGCUAAAAUGAAACUAAAAGAGAAUGUUGGGUCUGCCUUUGACGCUAGAUGAAACUCAGAUUUUAGUAAGUCUGAGCUUAGGCCACCAGCCUCAAAGCCACCACCCAAAUAUGCGGAGGCAACACAAUAUACCUCUAAGAUCUGCAGUUACAAAAUAGGUAGUCAAUGUGGGGAAAGGGAAAAACCAAGUAACUAUUGAAACCAGAGCGUAUAGUGUGAAAGAAUUCUUUCAUUGUAUAAAUCAGUAUUAUCAGCUUCCUGAAGAACCUUUGCUAACAUGCAUUAGAAGAUCCACUAAUGUAGGGGCAGUGCCUUCAGAGUGGAAGAGCAUUUUUAGGUUGAUGCAGGACCCACAGAUCACUAUGAAAUAAUUGCAAAGGGGUGUAUGUGAUCCAGACACACAGGAGGUUAUUCCUGAAGACAGCAAGCCUGGCAGACUGGGAAAAAGCCACUGUAAGGUCUGUUUACCCUGAAAAGUGGACUGUCCAAAUCUACCUAUAAAUGUAAGUAGAACGUCACAGAUGAGGUAGCUGAUAUGUUUUGUAUGCAAGCCAAGUAGAACACCACAGAUGAGGUAGCUGUUAUGCUUUGUAUUCAAGUCAUGUGAGACUGGCUUUAUGAUGAUAGGGAUAUUCACUCCCUGAAUAUGCCUGUUAUCCAGGUCAUAGUAAAUGCUAUUUUAAGGUGGGAGGGGUCAUUCUACAUGGGCACCCCAUGUGAUGUUACUCCUGCAGAAUCAAACAGUUAGAGAAGUUGUAUCAAAUUUACGAUAUCAGCUUCCCCUCAUGGCUUUUACAGGUGCUAAUAUAAGCAUCAGGUUAAUUAACAAGAGAAUGGUAAAGGCAAAAGGGACCUUCAAAGGACUUAUACAAAGAAUGUGGAAAUUUUUAAAUAAUUAUUAGGCAAUAAGGUGAAUAAAGAAAAUAUUGAUGGGGUGAAGCUAAGAAUAAAAAGAAGGGAGAGAGUCAUGGGACUCAUCCCAUCAGGGUGGAAAUCUUUAUACGGUUCUAAGAAAUGAAAUGAAUACAAUAGAAAUUGAUGGGGUUAAAACAAAGGUCUUAAUAGAAUACUAUCCAAAUUUGGGUGGAUCAAAGGGAGCCCCUUCUUGUUCCCCAACAUUAAAGGGCUUCAAACAAGUUUGCUGCGUUUCUCCCAGUUUGGAGAAAUUUUAAAGGCUGGAAGGCAGAGAUUACAAUGAAAAACCUGAUCUGAAAUUACCUGGGUCAAUAGUAGGGCAGACUAAUAAAGAUAAAGAUUGACAAAAAGGGGUCCUUUGACUCAACCCUUGCUUGGGGACCAAAAGCCUUUUGCACAAGAGAGUGUAAAAUGGUCUGGGAAUAGAGAAAGAAGUUCCUGAAACUAGAACAUAAAAAUGCAAGGUCUGAUAAGAGUGUGAAAGUUGGCAUAUUUAAACAUACUUCAUUUGAAGUGGUUGCAUCUCUUUUACCUGAUUGUAUCAUGAGAAUGAUCACUGUAUCUGAUUGGGGAAUGUUUCCUCUACUUGGUACUAUAAAACAGAAGGCAUGUAAAUCUACUCUUCAAGCAAUAUUAAUUAGAUAUGCUAAAUGUGAACCAGUAAGACUGCCCAAGCCCACACAUUGCAAAGUAGAGGCUAGAGUGCAGGUAGGGACAAAUGCUCCCCUUAAUAACCCUCUGUGGAGCACUUCCUGGGGCUUAUGGUGAAAACCUUGAAUGCCUCCCAUCAACAACUACUGGGAUUUUGAACUAGAGAAUUUCCACUUAAGGGGCAUGUACUCCCUUCCUAUGAAAUGUUAUGUGUUUCUUUUCCCAUAGGACUGACUGUGGAACUGUGUAAGAAGCUGUUGGAUUCUUCAGUGUUCAAGAAACAGCUCUCAACUGACUGAACACGAGUUGCUUGAUUUGGGAAUGGUAAUUCUAAGCAAGAGCGACAGAGACUGCUGAUGGCUAUGGGGAAGAUUCUCUGGUUGAAAGGCCCUGAACAUAGCUGGCAAGUGAGACUAAUGCUUGUAGCCCUAGAGGGCUAAAAUGGGUCUUGACAGGAAUAGACACUGGCUCUAAAGUGGGCUUUGUUUAUCCAACUGAAGAUAAUAAUGUUCAGAGUGCCAUAAAAAGUAUAGAACAGAAGAUAUUGUAUGGAUUUGCGUGACCACUCAUCAUUUCUUCAGAUCAAGGAACACACUGUACAGCCCGUAAUGUCCAACAAUGGGUAGAGUGAUAUCCUGCUAAGAGUAAUAGCUUGACAGAGAAGUGGAACAGGCAAUUGAAACAUUUAUUGUCUAAAAUAGGCAAAGAUAAAAGCAUGAAGGGCUGGCUUACAUGCUUGUAUAACAACUACAAUUCUUUCUUUCUUUCUCAAAUUACCUCAGAAAUAAAAUAUUUUAUUUUUUUCUA